CACGCUGUAAACGAUGAGUGCUAGGUGUUGGGGGGGAACCCUCAGUGCCGCAGCUAACGCAAUAAGCACUCCACCUGGGGAGUACGGCCGCAAGGUUGAAACUCAAAGGAAUUGACGGGGGCCCGCACAAGCGGUGGAGCAUGUGGUUUAAUUCGACGCAACGCGAAGAACCUUACCAAGGCUUGACAUCCCGCUGACCGGUACAGAGAUGUACCUUUUCUUCGGAACAGCGGUGACAGGUGG
rnacentral:rRNA from 1 species